GACGAACGCUGGCGGCGUGCCUAACACAUGCAAGUCGAACGGAAGUAAGUGCUUCGGUAUUUACUUUAGUGGCGAACGGGUGAGUAACACGUGAGGAACCUGCCCUUCAGAGGGGGACAACAGUUGGAAACGACUGCUAAUACCGCAUAAGACCACAGAGCCGCAUGGCUCGGGGGUCAAAGGAGAAAUCCGCUGAAGGAUGGCCUCGCGUCCGAUUAGACAGUUGGUGAGGUAACGGCUCACCAAAUCCACGAUCGGUAGGGGGUCUGAGAGGACUACCCCCCACACUGGUACUGAGAUACGGACCAG
rnacentral:rRNA from 1 species